rnacentral:rRNA from 1 species
CCCUUAGAUGUUCUGGGCGGCCCGCGCACUACAAUGGCGUGUGCAGCGAGUGCCGAAGUAGAGUUUUCCGAGGUAUUCUUGCAAUGCUCGUUUUGAUGGGGAUAGACCCUUGCAACUGUUGGUUUUGAACGAGGAAUUCCUUGUAAGCAUGGUUUAUCAUCCGACGCUGAAUGCGUCCCUGCCCUUUGUACACACCGCCCGUCGCUCCUACCGAUGAGUCGUCCGGUGAAGUUCGUAGGCCUCGUGAUCGCGGAUCACUGGGGGAAGCAAAAUGAACCUCGCGGUUUAGAGGAAGGAGAAGUCGUAACA